rnacentral:lncRNA from 1 species
GGACUCAGAUGUGGGACUAACUGGUGUCACUUCGUAUUGACCUAAACAUUCCUGUGUGGUGAGGUGACAGUUCUCCUUCUCUGUAAGCUCCUCCCCGCCCCAAUGUAGAAGACAAAGCAGAGUGGACAUCUUGAAAGGUGAGGGUCACCUUUGGGAAGGCGCUCCGACUCCUCACCCCCAGGAUGAACUCUGCAGUGUCGUGACCCUUGGGGUUUUGUGUGCCCUGGAAAUGCGAGAUUUUCCUUCAGCAGCAGGAGGCACACACUCAGAGAAUGCUGGAACUUCAAGGGGGAAGGACCCACUUCCACAGCAGAGAAAA